AAGUCGUAACAAGGUUUCCGUAGGUGAACCUGCGGAAGGAUCAUUACCGUGGGGAUUCGUCCCCAUUGAGAUAGCACCCUUUGUUUAUGAGUACCCUUGUUUCCUCGGCGGGCUUGCCCGCCAUGAGGACAUUAAAAACCCUUUGUAGUAGCAGUAUCUUCAGUAAAAAAUAAAUAUUAAAACUUUCAACAACGGAUCUCUUGGUUCUG
rnacentral:misc_RNA from 1 species